rnacentral:rRNA from 1 species
GGGCCCGCACAAGCAGCGGAGCAUGUGGUUUAAUUCGAAGCAACGCGAAGAACCUUACCCAGACUUGACAUCUCCUGAAUUAAUCGUAAUUGAUGAAAUCCCUUCGGGGACAGGAAGACAGGUGGUGCAUGGUUGUCGUCAGCUCGUGUCGUGAGAUGUUGGGUUAAGUCCCGCAACGAGCGCAACCCUUAUCAUUAGUUGCUAACAUUUAGUUGAGCACUCUAGUGAGACUGCCCGGGUUAACCGGGAGGAAGGUGGGGAUGACGUCAAAUCAUCAUGCCCCUUAUGUCUGGGGCUACACACGUGCUACAAUGGUGGGAACAAAGAGAUGCAAGACCGCGAGGUGGAGCCAAACUCAAAAACCCAUCCCAGUUCGGAUUGUAGGCUGAAACUCGCCUACAUGAAGCUGGAGUUGCUAGUAAUCGCGAAUCAGAAUGUCGCGGUGAAUACGUUCCCGGGCCUUGUACACACCGCCCGUCACACCAUGAGAGUCGGCAACACCCGAAGCCCGUGAGGUAACCUUUUGGGACCAGCGGUCGAAGGUGGGGUUGAUAAUUGGGGUGAAGUCGUAACAAGGUAGCCGUAGGAGAACCUGCGGCU